UGAUGGACGCAGCGAUGUAUUUUCCCAGAGAGGAGCGGAGCUUCAUUUUCUUCAACACUGAACCUCCGAGUGUCUGCGCUGCUUAAAGGAAAACUACAAACCACAGUACAACAUUCAUUUCAACAACAACAAUAGAGCAGAGCAGCACCCUGGAGACCAGACCCAGAUCGUAUACACUGAAACAGAGCUUUUAUUGGAGCCCAGUAGAAAACCCCACCACACUGUGUGCAUAAGACACCGGGUCAGAGGUGUGAUAGAGGGCAAAAAGGAGGAUAUGAAAGGACCUCUUUUUGUUUGUGCAUGGUUGUGUGCGUCUGACUGCGAGUUGUGUAAUUUCUUACUUGCCGGACAGUAUGUCUUGUCUAAGCUGCAGUACAAAGAGAUACCUGCAAAAUCAACAGUUUGAAAGUUAGACAGUUCAAAUACGACAUUUCAUUUUUAUGACAUGCUUUAUAUUUUUCAUACUUUUACACACUGUAUAAUCAAUUGAAGAGUAGAUGUGCAAUGGAUAGGAAGCAGGAACAUUUUAAACUCAACAGAUAGCUGUAAAAAUGCAGGACGACUUGACACAACAGUCAUGAUGUCCAUCUGCAUGUGUAUAGCUGGAGUGGUGGUGCUUUAAAUGCACAAUAUGUAAGAGUUUUAUUUUAUUAUAUCCAAAACUCACUCACAUAAGUGUUAUUUUGUUCAUAAUUGUGUACUUGCAUCCCAAAGUGUGAGAAUUUUAACCAGCGUUUUUACCAGAAAGUUUUAACUAGCAUUACGCACCUAUUCAUAGGGUCGCUUGUCAAUGUGCAGGUUAUCCCUGGUUUCUGCUUGUACUGCCAUAGAAACCAAAGGCAUGUUUAACUUCAUGUAGCACUGUGCAGACCAAUCGGCGUGUGACAUCAAA